rnacentral:rRNA from 1 species
AUCGGAACGCGCCAUUGAUGGGGGAUAACGUAGCGAAAGUUGCGCUAAUACCGCAUAUUCGUGUGAGCAGGAAAGCAGGGGACCGCAAGGCCUUGCGCUCUUUGAGCGGCCGAUGUCAGAUUAGCUAGUUGGUGAGGUAAAGGCUUACCAAGGCGACGAUCUGUAGCGGGGUCUGAGAGGAUGAUCCGCCACACUGGAACUGAGACACGGUCCAGACUCCUACGGGAGGCAGCAGUGGGGAAUUUUGGACAAUGGGGGCAACCCCUGAUCCAGCCAUGCCGCGUGAGUGAAGAAGGCCUUCGGGUUGUAAAGCUCUUUCGGCCGGGAAGAAAUCGCAUGGGCCAAUACCCUGUGUGGAUGACGGUACCGGAAUAAGAAGCACCGGCUAACUACGUG